rnacentral:rRNA from 1 species
CGACCAAAGGCGGUGGAAACUGGCAGACUAGAGAGCAGUUAGGGGUAGCAGGAAUUCCCAGUGUAGCGUGAAAUGCGUUAGAGAUUGGGAAGAACAUCGGUGGCGAAAGCGUGCUACUGGGCUGUAUCUGACACUCAGGGACGAAAGCUAGGGGAGGCGAAAGGGAUUAGAUACCCCAUGUAGUCCUAGCCGUAAACGAUGGAUACUAAGCGUCGGCUUGUAUCGACCCGAGCCGUGCCGAAGCUAACGCGUUAAGUAUCCCGCCUGGGGAGUACGCACGCAAGUCGUGAAACUCAAGGAAUUGACU